UCGAGGAUCUUCGGCAAUGGGCGCAAGCCUGACCGAGCGACGCCGCGUGUGCGAUGAAGGCCUUCGGGUUGUAAAGCACUGUCGAGGGGGAGGAAGCCGCAAGGUUGACCUAUCCCUGGAGGAAGCACGGGCUAAGUUCGUGCCAGCAGCCGCGGUAAGACGAACCGUGCAAACGUUGUUCGGAAUCACUGGGCUUAAAGGGCGCGUAGGCGGACUCGCCAGUCUGUGGUGAAAGCCCCCGGCUUAACCGGGGAAGUGCCGUGGAUACUGCGAGUCUGGAGGAGGGUAGGGGCAUCUGGAACGCUGGGUGGAGCGGUGAAAUGCGUUGAUAUCCAGCGGAACUCCGGUGGCGAAGGCGAGGUGCUGGACCCUUUCUGACGCUGAGGCGCGAAAGCCAGGGGAGCAAACGGGAUUAGAUACCCCCGUAGUCC
rnacentral:rRNA from 1 species